CGUCUCCUCCCUCGACUCUCAGCGUUCCUUGACUUUUUGGUCUGGCUCGCUUUUUGUUUUGAGCCAGGUGCACAACAGAUAAUACAAAACCUUGUAAGAGCCUGGAAAUUACAGAGUUGAUGACAGGGGAAACCACUUCUCUCUGAAGAUGAAAUCUCCUAAGGAUGAAGCCAACACAGAGGAGAGAAGAAGCAAGAUAAUCACAGGGAAGUGGAACUGGAGCCCCAAUCAUAUAACCUCUGAAAUUGCUCUACCUCUGAACUUCCCUGCAUAAGAAGCAAUACAUAUUAUUUCAACAAAUUGAAUCUGUCUGUACUUGCAGAUGAAGUCACUCUAACGGCUACAUCUCUCCUGUCUGUUACUCUAGCAUGGUCACAGGUUCUUUUUCUAAUCGCUCAUAGCACAAACUAAGGUCAGACUAUAAUGAAAAAGAUGCACAGUAUGGAGAAAAAUUUUCAGCUACUCAUAACACAGAUCAAACCUGGGGUCUCUCCCUAGGUGUAGUAGACACAGAGAUGCGACAUAUAAGAACUCUAAUGGUCA